GUUGACCUGCAGAAAACACUCCGACGCUCAAGUCAGAUAUGUUUCAUAGGGAGGUCAAUAUUUUUAUUAGGAUAGAUUCAGAUGAUCGUACCUGGACAUCAGUUGUACACUUAUAAGGCUUGUGACAACCAACUCCAUUGAUUAGUCAUUAGUGCAAUAUAUUUUAGGUAAUCAAACCCAAUAAUUAAUCAUUAAUAUCGUAUAUUGUUAAUUGCCCAUGAAUGACCAUUAACUCUGACCGG
rnacentral:lncRNA from 1 species